rnacentral:lncRNA from 1 species
AUUUUUAAAAAAAAUUUAAAUGUUAACAGUCUUUGGGCCGACUGUUAACAGUCAUGGGCCGAUUAGACUGUUUUUUCUGUUAACAGUCGGCUCAAGAUUGUUAAACCUGACUGUUAACAGUCGACAUCGUUCACAAGGCCUUUCUUCGUCGGAAAUCGUCAUUUUUGACAAUGAGAGGUCCAAAAAAUUAACAUUUUCCACCCAAACACCACACAAUCUAGUUCUACUCAUGCUUAAACCGAAUAAAUGUAAAAAAUUUCAAUUGAUUUUAUAACAACAAAAAUUACAAAUAUUUUUUUAAUUGAUUAUAUAACAACUAACCGAAAUGAUUUCGCCUGGGGAUAGAUAAUGGUAGUUGAUCCAAGUCGCGCAUCGAUCAGUCCGUGGUUGAUUGGAAAAUGUGGCAAUUGGGGUGUCGAUUUUCUUUAGAUCUCACAGUUAGCUUCCAAAACAGUUUGUCAAUGGUAAAAUCGUCCUUUUGUGUCUAAAGUUAUUUUUUAACUUUUUUUAUUUUUUUAAUUGAAUUAAUGGUUAAAGUCGCAUGUUAAAAUUUGCUAGAGUGAUAGAGUCAUUUUUGCGUAUUUCCUCGAAAUAAACACGGGCUUAAAUUGAUAGAUCUAACAAGCGGCUAAGGGAGUUUUCCUUGGCACCAGUUGAUCUUGUGUAAUUCGUAAGUGCAAUUGAUCGAGCAACAGGUGCAAGGUAUCGCGCCAAUAGAUCUUCUAUUGCAGUGAUUUCUACUCAAUUUCUUCAUCCCAAGGUUAGUAUCACCAAUUGAUCUUUUAUUUCUGUUAUUUCUACUCAAAAUUGUUUCUUGAUGGUAAUCUUCCUCUAGCAACAGAGAUUUUCUCGAUAAUAUAUCUUGAAUUUUUAUGCGAAUGGUCAUGAAAAACUAAAAUUGAUUAAUAUAUUCGACUCUUUCAACACUCUGUCAGUAUUUUUGCUUCGUCCNUUAAAAUACUGGCAAUC